rnacentral:rRNA from 1 species
AUGAUUUCAUCAAUCACUGACAAUUGUAUACCAGCAAUCGUUUGCUCACAACACACACGGCUUGUUAACAGGAAUCGUCUAUGUUGUUAUCGGUCUUCCCACACAUUUCCGAUUACAGACCUGUCUGCCGCGUAUCACACACAUCUUGUUAAGUUGAACCGUUUUUGUUCUCUUGGCUCAACGCAAACAGUUCAUCCGAGUGAACUGUAUGCCGUAUAUCGCACACACCUUUAUCUGGCUGCCCGUUUCUGUUGUUCCGCCUCAUCACAAAUAGUUCAUUCGAGUGAACCGUAUGCUCUACAUCGCACACGCCUUCAUAUGGCAGCCCGUUUCUUUUGUUCCUCCUCAUCGCAAACAGUUAAUUGA